AUAUAUAUAUAUCAAACUUCUCUUGUUGAGUUGUUUGGAUGUGGGGGUUUGCUGGCCUCUUAAAGGGGUUCAGCUCUCCUGAAAUGCAUUAGCGGAACAGCCUUGUUCAUUGGUGUGAUAACUAUCUACGCUGUUGAAUGUGAAAGGGCAGUUCAGCUUUCUAACAGUCCUUGUACAGAUCCAUCAUUA
rnacentral:misc_RNA from 1 species